rnacentral:misc_RNA from 1 species
GGAAUAAAAGUCGUAACAAGGUUUCCGUAGGUGAACCUGCGGAAGGAUCAUUACAGAGUUCAUGCCCUACCGGGUAGAUCUCCCACCCUAUGUUAUUAUUACUUUGUUGCUUUGGCGGGCCGUUAGGCUCCGGCCCGACUACCGGCCCCGGCUGGUAAGCGCCCGCCAGAGGACCCAAAACCCUGAAUAUUAGUGUCGUCUGAGUACUAUAUAAUAGUUAAAACUUUCAACAACGGAUCUCUUGGUUCUG